ACAAUGGAGAGUUUGAUCCUGGCUCAGGAUGAACGCUAGCGGCAGGCUUAAUACAUGCAAGUCGAGGGGCAGCAUGGUGUAGCA
rnacentral:rRNA from 1 species